UGUGGCAUGUGACAUUAUACUUCCUUACUGCACCUUCUCUGACUUGUUCAAGGAGCCGUCAGAGGCAUGUGAUAAGACCAUCUCCCUGCCUGCUUCACGCUGGGGUAAUCCUGUGUCUGAAGAAAUGCUGUGUCCUCGCAGGGGUCCCCAGCUGGCUUCAGGCAUCCCUAGGGCUCAGGUCACUUUUUCAAGAUCUCAGAAUCCAUCAUCAUGCCUGAGGAGCCUAAUGCCGACACUAAAUGGUUGCAAGAAUGAUGUCUCACUCUUACACAUGAGGACUAAAAGUGCUUACUGGUCAGAAGCAGAUCAGGAAGGACUCCUUGGUCCCCACCUUUCCUACCUGGGGAAGCCAUCUGAUUACAUAAUGGCAAAACUGGUCAUUUCUUUCUCUGUGGCCAGGAACUCAUGAACUGCCGCUGCUUUGGGAGUGUCAUGCUUUAUAGACUUUUUUCUUUUAAUGGACAGAGACUCGUUUAUCUAAUCACCACGGGCAUAUUUCACGACAGUCACAGAUAAAAUGCCCAGUCUUUUCACCCAGGCAGAUAGAACUUGGGUACUCUAAACAUCAUUAUGUGUCCUACUCCUGUGUAAAAUAUACUAACAUACUGACUGUGCCCUAACCAUCUCACCAGCAUCCAGAAGAGAUUGCAAGAGAUGCCACACUGACUUUUUUUGGCAGCCCUUACCACAUACACGGAGUUGUCCCUUGGUAUCUGCAGGGGAUUGGUACCAGGACCCCUCCCACACCACACACACACCAAAUUCCACGGAUGCUCAAGUCCCUUACAGUCAGCCCUGUGUAUCCGAGGUUCCACUUCGGUGGAUACAGAGGGCCCAGUGUACUUUAAUUCUCACAGCAAUCCUUUGAGGUAGGUACUGUGAUCCCCACUUCACAGUUAAGUAGCCAAGUCAGAGGAGCUAAAUAACCACCCAGAGGCCCUUGAUAAGUUUGAAGCCAGAGACUCAGAGCCUAAUGCUUCUCUUUGCUAUAGAUGGUUUACCAUCUAUAACUCACAAACGGGCACUUUAUUGAAUACAGUCUUGUUCUCUAAUUAUUUUUUGCACAUGCUUUUCACCUCAGCCAAACCUAAGUGACAGUGAGGACAGGGACAGUGUCUUUUAGCCCAUUAACUCAGCUUUCCAGCCUCAUUCCAGCAGCUUUCCUGUUAACUCUGAACUUUUGCCUAACUGCCAAUCAAAUUUUUUUUCUUAUUGGAAAAAAUUCACAACUUUUCUCAUAAAGGUAAAUAAUUUAACAUCAUAAUUUCCCUCCCCCUACUUUGUUGUUUAAUUUUGUUUUUCAUUUAUUAGCUUCUUAAAUUCUAAGCUUAUUUUCUUUUCAGUCCUUUAAAUAAAAGGCUUAACUUUUUAUCUAACUAUAUUUUUAGUACAAUCCCCAUAAUUCAGCGCACUGCAUUUUCAUUGUUAAUUUUAAAAUAGUCUAUAGUUGCAGUAGUGAUUUCCUUUUUGAUCCAAGAAUUAUUUAAAAGGACCAUAUCUUAGUUUCCAAGUGCUUGGAUGGAGGUAGGGGCAGGAGCCAUCUUGUGUAACUUUCAAUGCUAUGUUAUUGUUAUAUGUCUACUUUUUGGUUAGUUUAAGUUUCUUUGUGGUGUAGUAUUUCAUCAAUUUUUGAAAAUGAUCCAUGGUCUUUUAAAAAAACUGUGUAUACUUCCUAUUUGUUGAGUUAGGUUAAUAAUAAUAACUAUGUUAUUCAAAUCUUCUGUUCCUACUUAAUUUUAUUUACUUGAUAAAAUUCUGAAAGUAUUUUGUUAAAGUCUCCCACUAUGAUUAUGGAAAAGUUUAUUUACGCUUUAAAUUUUUUAAUUUAUUUUUAUUUGCAUUAUUUUGCUUGUAUUUUUAACAAAUUUUACUUUAAUUCAGUGCUAAAUGUUCAGUACAUAAAGUUUCAUUGUUAUUGAAUCUUGUUUGAUUUAUAUCUAUUCUUUUAUGUCUCGUUCAAUAUUUCUUUUUACAUUGAAUCCCACACUUUUUAGAAUUAAUAUUACUAUCCCUAUUUCUGUUUUGUUAGUUAGAAUUCACCAACCUAUCCCUUUAUUUUCUGACUUUCUGUGUAAUUUUGGUAUACAAAGAUUCCUAAAGACAGCAUUUAGCUGGAUUAUCUUUUUAAUCAAUCUGAGAGUCACUGAUUUUAAUAUAGGAAUUUAACCUAGUCACAUUUAUUGUUAUAUGUUUAUCUUAUGCUUGCUAUUUUAUCAUAUGGUUUUCUUCUUACUUUUUUUCCCUCUUUUCUUGACCUUUGCAGAUAGACUAUGGUUUUUAUUAUUGUAGCACCCCUAGCUCUGUGUGUGUGUUUUAAUAUCUAAUGGUUUAGAAAUCCUACCUAUAGUUUUUUCUAAAGAUCAAAUACAUGUGACCUUUCUUGGUGAACAUCAGAGAACUGCAUAGUAGGACCCUGUUAAUUGGUAAGGUCAGUCCAUUGCUUUGGGAAAUUUAAUGGCAGAUUCAUGUUAGUAGCAAUAAUAGAUUUUGUGUAUAUAUGGGAAUGACACUACAUAGGUAUUAGAAACCCUUCUAAAAGAGUAUGUGACCAGAUCUCCAUUUACUUCCCUUCUCCCUUCCUACAACAAGGACUGGCUACUACAGCUUUCACAAAUCUUGUGGAUGAGUGUGGGGUAGAGGGGCAGUCAAGAACCUAGUGGUUGGGAUACAGCCAGGAACAUCUUAAGGAAUGCUUCUGCAAAUUCUGGACUCUGAGACAUACAUGCACUUUGGAGAUCUGUAGAAGUAUCUGUAGAAGGGAGGUUGUCAGGGUGAGUUUCCUGCUACUUCACUUCCAGUCUCUAGAAGUCAUCAUCAGCUGAGAAAUCUAAUCUAGAAUUAGCUAAGAGUGCAACAGUAAGAUCACAAGAAUGUAAACAUACCCUCUAAAGAGGUGAAGAAUCCAAAUGAGAAAAUAAAUGUUGCUAGACCUGCUUAGGAGGCUAGAAUUCUGAGUUUCUUAAUGUCUAGUUAAGAAAGCUCAGUAAUCAACAAGAAUCCACCUUUUUUUUUUCCCCUAAAAAUGAGGUGGUUUCCACUUUUUUAAAACUUUGAUAUAGGUGCAGGGGUGAUGGAGAAAAUUCUGGCCAUAAAAUACCUAUGUAUGUGUAUUCUUUGUAUGUGCUUCUAUAAGUGCAUGUGUUUGAAUAAAGGUUAACAUUAAAAUUC